CCGCUGUUCGCCACCGCUGCUCUGUGGCAGCACUGCGGACAACCUCACCGACACUCUCCGCUCCUCCGUCCACAUUUCCACUUGGAGACCCGCCGAGCCGAGCCUCAGAAUCACGCCGAGGGGAUGCGCCUGACGCCCGGCUGCGCUGCUGACAGGACACCGCUGGAACCGUGCGAAGCUGGUGGAGACUUCCAUCUACCCCCUGUGCUGUGACUCUUUUUUCCGGCCUUCGUGAUGGUUUCCCUGGACUCGUCUGCCGCCCCGGUCCCCCUCACAGCUCUGUCCCGCUGGUACCUCUACGCCAUCCAUGGAUACUUCUGCGAGGUCAUGUUCACUGCCGCUUGGGAAUUUGUUGUCAACCAAAACUGGAAAUUCCCGGGCGUGACUAGCGUUUGGGCGUUAUUCAUUUACGGAACUUGCAUUUUAAUCGUAGAAAGAAUGUACCUGGGAUUACGAAGCCGUUGUUCCAUUUUGCUCAGGUGCAUAAUCUACACUUUAUGGACUUAUUUUUGGGAGUUUGGGACUGGAUAUCUGUUAAGGCAGUUUAACGCUUGCCCUUGGGAUUAUUCUGAGUUUAAGUAUAAUUUUAUGGGGCUUAUAACGUUAGAAUACGCCGUUCCGUGGUUUUGUGCAUCUUUCAUCGUAGAAAGGUUUGUGAUACGGAAAACGCUACGGCUACGAUUUCAUGAAGGAGUGGAAGAUGGCUGGUCUACGAGGAGGAGAGAAGGAAGCGCAAAUGGAUUUUUGAAGGCAGACUAACAAAAGUUUUUAAUGUGAUUAUAAUGGGAUGAAGAUUCACACUGAUUUGUCCCAUCCAGAGCUGUAUGAUACUAAAAAAAUACUUACGACGAGGGUUCAAUUCCACAAUCACUGACUAUGUGCCCAAAAACAAGACACUAUACUUAAAACCACUGCAUCUCAAAACAUUAUGGGAAUGUUUUGUAGGGCUAAUAAUGUACUGCUGAAUGACUGACUGAGGGUUCAAUUCCCAAAUCAGUGACUGCGUGCCCAAAAGCAAGGCAUCUGAAACUGCUGCUUACACAUAUAUUUUGUAUGGCUGGUUAUAAUGUAAUGUUAAGUGUAAUAUUGUUAAGGAAAGAAAAGAGGCUAGUCAAGAUAGAGAUAAGCAACCUACAUGUUACAAUGAUGGUGUUUAAAGUCAUUUGAAGAGCUACAAACCAGGUCUAAACCAGGUCUAAACCAGGUCAAACUAAGGAAUUAGGAUGUUGACUACUCUAGACCAACAACACCCCAGUAGAGCUGCACUUGUAUAUCAUGAUUAAAAGAGGUCUCAUCCUGGUCUGGGCUAACGCAGGACUAAACCAGGUCUUAACCAGGUCUGAACCAAGGACUAAACCAAGGACUAAACCAAGGACUAAACCAAGGACUAAACCAAGGACUAAACCAGGACUACCCCAGGUCUUACUCAGGACUAAACCAGGUCUAAACCAGGUCUAAACUAGGACUAAUCCAGGUCUAACCCAGGUCUAAACCAGGCCUAAACCAGGCCUAAACCAGGCCUAAACCAGGUCAAAAGCAUCUCUCAUAUAUACUGACUCUUGCAAUCUGAGAACACCAGAACUGUGCUACAACUAAACCAGUUCUAAACCAGGACUAAAUCAGGUCUUACCCAGGACUAAACUAGGACUGAACCAGGACUGAACCAGGACUGAACCAGGACUGAACCAGGACUGAACCAGGACUGAACCAGGACUGAAC